UACGUAGGGGGCUAGCGUUGUCCGGAAUCAUUGGGCGUAAAGAGCGUGUAGGCGGUCCGGUAAGUCCGCUGUGAAAGUCGGGGGCUCAACCCUCGAAUGCCGGUGGAUACUGUCGGGCUAGAGUGCGGAAGAGGCGAGUGGAAUUCCUGGUGUAGCGGUGAAAUGCGUAGAUAUUGGGAAGAACACCAGUGGCGUAGGCGACUAGCUGGGCCAUAACUGACGCUGAGGAACGAAAGCCAGGGGAGCGAAUGGG
rnacentral:rRNA from 1 species